rnacentral:rRNA from 1 species
AGCGCAACCCUUAUCCUUGUUGCCAGCGAGGUAAUAGUCGGGAACGUCAAAGGAGACUGCCGGUGAUAAACCGGAGGAAGGUGGGGAUGACGUCAAGUCAUCAUGGCCCUUACGAUAGGGCUACACACGUGCUACAAUGGCAUAUACAAAGAGAAGCGAACUCGCGAGAGCAAGCGGACCUCAUAAAGUAUGUCGUAGUCCGGAUUGGAGUCUGCAACUCGACUCCAUGAAGUCGGAAUCGCUAGUAAUCGUAGAUCAGAAUGCUACGGUGAAUACGUUCCCGGGCCUU